rnacentral:rRNA from 1 species
UCGCCUGUUUAACAAAAACAUGUCUUUUUGAAAUUUUUUUAAAGUCUGACCUGCCCACUGAAUUUUUUUAAAUGGCCGCAGUAUACUAACUGUGCAAAGGUAGCAUAAUCAUUAGUCUUUUAAUUGAAGGCUGGUAUGAAUGGUUGGACGAGAUAUUAACUGUUUCAUAAAAAUUUAUAAUAGAAUUUUAUUUUUUAGUCAAAAAGCUAAAAUUUAUUUAAAAGACGAGAAGACCCUAUAAAUCUUUAUAUUUAUAUUAUUAUAAUUUUUCAGAUUUUUUUUAUUAUAAUAAUAGAUUAUAUUUUAUUGGGGUGAUAUUAAAAUUUAAUAAACUUUUAAUUGUUUAAAUCAUUAAUUUAUGAAUAAUUGAUCCGUUAUUAGCGAUUAAAAAAACAAGUUACUUUAGGGAUAACAGCGUAAUUUUUUUGGAGAGUUCAUAUCGAUAAAAAAGAUUGCGACCUCGAUGUUGGAUUAAGAUAUAAUUUUAGGUGUAGCCGCUUAAAUUUUAAGUCUGUUCGACUUUUAAAUUCUUACGUGAUCUGAGUUCAGACCGGA